GCCUACGGCCAUACCACCCUGAGAACGCCCGAUCUCGUCUGAUCUCGGAAGCUAAGCAGGGUCGGGCCCGGUUAGUACUUGGAUGGGAGACCGCCUGGGAAUACCGGGUGCUGUAGGCUUUU
rnacentral:rRNA from 6 species